rnacentral:rRNA from 1 species
GAGCCGCGGCGCAUUAGCUAGUUGGUGAGUAACGGCUCACCAAGGCGACGAUGCNUAGCCGACCUGAGAGGGUGAUCGGCCACACUGGGACUGAGACAACGGCCCAGACUCCUACGGGAGGCAGCAGUAGGGAAUCUUCCGCAAUGGACGAAAGUCUGACGGAGCAACGCCGCGUGAGUGAUGAAGAGUUUUCGGAUCGUAAAACUCUGUUGUUAGGGAAGAACAAGUACCGUUCGAAUAGGGCCGGCACCUUGACGGUACCUAACCAGAAAGACCACGGCUAACUACGUGCCAGCAGCCGCGGUANUACGUAGGUGGCAANUGUUGUCCGGAAUUAUAUGGGCGCAAAGUGUGU